CUACGGGGCGCAGCAGUGAGGAAUAUUGGUCAAUGGACGCAAGUCUGAACCAGCCAUGCCGCGUGAAGGAAUGACGGCCCUAUGGGUUGUAAACUUCUUUUAUAUACCAAGAAAGUUAGCUAUGUAUAGUUAUUUGACGGUAGUAUAUGAAUAAGGAUCGGCUAACUCCGUGCCAGCAGCCGCGGUAAUACGGAGGAUCCAAGCGUUAUCCGGAUUUAUUGGGUUUAAAGGGUGCGCAGGCAGAAUAAUAAGUCAGGGGUGAAAUCCUACAGCUCAACUGUAGAACUGCCUUUGAUACUGUUAUUCUUGAGUUAAGUUGGAGUAGGCGGAAUGUAGCAUGUAGCGGUGAAAUGCAUAGAUAUGCUACAGAACACCAAUCGCGAAGGCAGCUUACUAAGCUUAUACUGACGCUCAGGCACGAAAGCGUGGGUAGCGAACAGGAUUAGAUACCCGCGUAGUC
rnacentral:rRNA from 1 species